rnacentral:rRNA from 1 species
UACGUAGGUGGCAAGCGUUGUCCGGAAUUCUUGGGCAUAAAGCGCGCGCAGGUGGUUCCUUAAGUCUGAUGUGAAAGCCCACGGCUCAACCGUGGAGGGUCAUUGGAAACUGGGGAACUUGAGUGCAGAAGGGGAAAGUGGAAUUCCACGUGUAGCGGUGAAAUGCGUAGAGAUGUGGAGGAACACCAGUGGCGAAGGCGACUUUCUGGUCUGUAACUGACACUGAGGCGCGAAAGCGUGGGGAGCGAACAGG